rnacentral:rRNA from 1 species
UGGGGAAUAUUGCACAAUGGGCGCAAGCCUGAUGCAGCCAUGCCGCGUGUAUGAAGAAGGCCUUCGGGUUGUAAAGUACUUUCAGCGGGGAGGAAGGCGAUAAGGUUAAUAACCUUGUCGGUUGACGUUACCCGCAGAAGAAGCACCGGCUAACUCCGUGCCAGCAGCCGCGGUAAUACGGAGGGUGCAAGCGUUAAUCGGAAUUACUGGGCGUAAAGCGCACGCAGGCGGUCUGUCAAGUCGGGUGUGAAAUCCCCGGGCUCAACCUGGGAACUGCAUUCGAAACUGGCAGGCUAGAGUCUUGUAGAGGGGGGUAGAAUUCCAGGUGUAGCGGUGAAAUGCGUAGAGAUCUGGAGGAAUACCGGUGGCGAAGGCGGCCCCCUGGACAAAGACUGACGCUCAGGUGCGAAAGCGUGGGGAGCAAACA